rnacentral:rRNA from 1 species
GACGAACGCUGGCGGCGUGCUUAACACAUGCAAGUCGAACGGUGAACCUUGGAGCUUGCUUCGAGGGGAUCAGUGGCGAACGGGUGAGUAACACGUGAGUAACCUGCCCUGGACUCUGGAAUAAGCGCUGGAAACGGCGUCUAAUACCGGAUACGAGACGCAACCGCAUGGUUAGUGUCUGGAAAGUUUUUCGGUCUGGGAUGGACUCGCGGCCUAUCAGCUUGUUGGUGAGGUAAUGGCUCACCAAGGCGACGACGAGUAGCCGGCCUGAGAGGGCGACCGGCCACACUGGGACUGAGACACGGCCCAGACUCCUACGGGAGGCAGCAGUGGGGAAUAUUGCACAAUGGGCGAAAGCCUGAUGCAGCGACGCCGCGUGAGGGAUGACGGCCUUCGGGUUGUAAACCUCUUUCAGCAGGGAAGAAACGAAAGUGACGGUACCUGCAGAAGGAGCACCGGCUAACUACGUGCCAGCCGCCGCGGUAAGAC